GCCAGGACUAGGGUGUAAACCACAUUUGGGGGGCCACGUGGGGCACAGUGGAAGUGUUCCAAGCAGAGGAGUGACAGAUUUCGAUGAGGCUCUGGCAAAUGUUCCAAAAUGGGUUUAACAAUUUCACUUACCAAAUUCGGGGUCCUCAGGGGAGGGGGUCUGCAUGGACUCAGGGCCCUGCCCUCCUAGGGGCUGCCAUCCUUGCAGGAGACAGCAGGAGGGCAGAAGGGAGCAGGAAGCCUCAGUUUUGCCAUCUGUGAGAGGAUGCUGUUUCCCAGCUCUCACAUCCACACGCUAGGAUUUUCCCCUGGAACUUUGCUUUUGAAACAAGAGCUCUGACUGAUGUCUUUUUUUGUUUUUGUUUUUGUUUUUUUGAGGAAGAUUACCCCUGAACUAACUACUGCCAAUUCUCCUCUUUUUUGCUGAGGAAGACUGGCCCUGAGCUAACAUCCAUGCCCAUCAUCCUCUACUUUAUAUGUGGGAUGCCUACCACAGCAUGGCCUGACAAGCGAUGCCAUGUCCGCACCCAGGAUCCGAACUGGUGAACCCUGGGCCACCAAGAUGCAGAAUAUGCGAACUUAACCUCUGAGCCACCGGGCCAGCCCAGACUGAUGUCUUAUGAUUGCCCCCCACCCCCGCCACCCAUCCAGGACGGGAUUGGACAGCCCACGGUGUGUGAGGUUAAAAUUAAAAGUAGAUGUUUUGAAGAGAGACCAGGCGGUUGGCAAGCCUGCAGGUCCUCGGGGACGGUCGGAGCUGCCUCCUGGUGAUUUGCGGGAUCUGAAGACGGGGUGCGGACAGUGGCAUUCUAGACAGCAGUUAGCUGGAGCCAAGGCCCUUAUCUGCUUAGACAAAUCUGGAACACUAGAUGGAGGGGAAAGCAGCAAGUCACAAAAGGAAAAGCGCACGGCAAGACCCUUGACACUGUUUGAGAACAUGCUGCGUGAUGUUCUGCCUUCUUCCCGGCACCUGCACACACCACCUUCAGGAGAAGCCCCCCUCAGGAGCAGAGGAAAAGACCUCUGACGUAAGGUGUGAAAUGUUUACACAAGCCCGCAGGCUCCAGUCUGAGGCCUCUGCUGGCCCCAGGCCUCUUACCCAGCCAUGAUCCACAUCACACAGGUAGUCCAGCCACCAGUCUGGCAGAGCCAUGACCAACCCACUCCCCAGUGCUCACGAGAUGACUCCCAGCACAGUCUCCCGCUGUGGCUGAGUGGCCAGAGGAGGCCUGGGCCCUGGGGAGAAAGGACUAACCAAUGCUGGGCUGCUCCCCUCCAGACAGGGCAAACAGGCUGUCCACGGCCUUCCCCGUCAUCCGGGAGAAGGAACUAAUGACUGUAAUUAGUGGACGUCUGGUAUGCAGGAGCCGAUGCAUGGCUGGCUGCCCACGCUGACCCAGUCUGGCCAGAAGAGGCUUUGGGUGUUCUGCUGGCCUCUGCGUCCUGGUUCUGGCAGCCGCCAGUGACCACUGGGCUCCUGGAAACGUGGGCAAUGCUCCUGGACCUUCCUGCAACGCUCAGGGCCAAUGGGCUUGGACCCAGAGCGUCCAGCAGUGGCCUGGUCUCACCUCCUCCCUACCCCCACUCAAGAGGUAGGGACCCUGGGGCUGAGGCUGGGAAGGGUCCUGUGUGGGGUCACCAGGGGAGUCUACAGCAGGGUCGGGUGUCCCUCUUGCACCGGGCGGGGCCUGGAGAGUCAAGAAGGCAGCCCUUGCCGGCUCCGAAUUAU
rnacentral:lncRNA from 1 species